AUUGAACGCUGGCGGCAGGCCUAACACAUGCAAGUCGAGCGGAUGAAGGGAGCUUGCUCCUGGAUUCAGCGGCGGACGGGUGAGUAAUGCCUAGGAAUCUGCCUGGUAGUGGGGGAUAACGUCCGGAAACGGGCGCUAAUACCGCAUACGUCCUGAGGGAGAAAGUGGGGGAUCUUCGGACCUCACGCUAUCAGAGGAGCCUAGGUCGGAUUAGCUAGUUGGUGGGGUAAAGGCCUACCAAGGCGACGAUCCGUAACUGGUCUGAGAGGAUGAUCAGUCACACUGGAACUGAGACACGGUCCAGACUCCUACGGGAGGCAGCAGUGGGGAAUAUUGGACAAUGGGCGAAAGCCUGAUCCAGCCAUGCCGCGUGUGUGAAGAAGGUCUUCGGAUUGUAAAGCACUUUAAGUUGGGAGGAAGGGCAGUAAGUUAAUACCUUGCUGUUUUGACGUUACCAGCAGAAUAAGCACCGGCUAACUUCGUG
rnacentral:rRNA from 1 species